UGGGGAAUAUUGCACAAUGGGCGGAAGCCUGAUGCAGCAACGCCGCGUGCGGGAUGACGGCCUUCGGGUUGUAAACCGCUUUCGCCUGUGACGAAGCGUGAGUGACGGCAAUGGGUAAAGAAGCACCGGCUAACUACGUGCCAGCAGCCGCGGUGAUACGUAGGGUGCGAGCGUUGUCCGGAUUUAUUGGGCGUAAAGGGCUCGUAGGUGGUUGAUCGCGUCGGAAGUGUAAUCUUGGGGCUUAACCCUGAGCGUGCUUUCGAUACGGGUUGACUUGAGGAAGGUAGGGGAGAAUGGAAUUCCUGGUGGAGCGGUGGAAUGCGCAGAUAUCAGGAGGAACACCAGUGGCGAAGGCGGUUCUCUGGGCCUUUCCUGACGCUGAGGAGCGAAAGCGUGGGGAGCGAACA
rnacentral:rRNA from 1 species